rnacentral:rRNA from 1 species
AUUGAACGCUGGCGGCAGGCCUAACACAUGCAAGUCGAGCGGAUGAAGGGAGCUUGCUCCUGGAUUCAGCGGCGGACGGGUGAGUAAUGCCUAGGAAUCUGCCUGGUAGUGGGGGAUAACGUCCGGAAACGGGCGCUAAUACCGCAUACGUCCUGAGGGAGAAAGUGGGGGAUCUUCGGACCUCACGCUAUCAGAUGAGCCUAGGUCGGAUUAGCUAGUUGGUGGGGUAAAGGCCUACCAAGGCGACGAUCCGUAACUGGUCUGAGAGGAUGAUCAGUCACCAUGGAACUGAGCCACGGUCCAGAAUCCUACGGGAGGCAGCAGUGGGAAAUUUUGGACAAUGGGGGAAAGCCUGAUCCAGCCAUGGCGGGUGGUGGAAGAAGGUUUUCGGUUUGUAAAGCCCUUUAAGUUGGGGGGAAGGGAAGUAAGUUAAUACCUGUCUGUUUUGGCUUGACCAACAAAAAAAGCACCGGCUGACUGCGG